rnacentral:tRNA from 1 species
GAGGCCAUAGUUCAAUUGGUUAGAAUGCCGCCCUCUCAAGGCGGAGCUUACUGGUUCGAAUCCAGUUGGUCCUC